rnacentral:pre_miRNA from 1 species
UCUAAAAGCCGAGCCUAUUGAUCUCUUUGGUUAUCUAGCUGUAUGACUUUAUGGACUCAUAAGGCUGGACGACUAAAGGAAUCAAUUCGUCGCUCGCUCUCUUGA